rnacentral:lncRNA from 1 species
GCUCAUGCUGUUCAUCCAAUUACAGCAGUCCAAAACGAGUGGUCAUUAUGGACAAGAGAUUUAGAAGAUGAAAUUGUUCCUACUUGCAGGUUUUUCCCCUUUCAUUAUCUUCUUAUGUUACAUAAUAAUACAAACCCACAAUGAUAACAUAUGUUGUUUGAUGAUAAUUCAUUUUUUGUAUCAGAGAACUUGGCAUUGGAAUUGUUGCUUAUAGUCCUAUGGGUUGGGGAUUCUUGGCUGCUGGUCCUUCAUUGGUUGAGAACUUAAUACCAAAUGACUUCAGGAAGGUAUAUAU